CGAGAGAGAGGACCCCGGGGAGCUGUCAGCUCCAGAUCCGCUUUCUUCAGGAUCCGCUUCAGCACUCACGCUACUGCCACACCCUGCCCGGCUGCCCCCAGCCAACACCUCAAUGUAAAACACAUUCUGUGGAUACUGAUGCAGAGGCUAUACGGAUGGAGAACAAACAGGGUUCUUCUAAGACACUGACGCAUUAUCUACGAAGAUAAUGGAACCAGAAGGCUAAUCAACCUUGCCAUGCUGCCGUAGACACUGAGGAUGAAUUUUUAUAAGAGGAUAGAGUGGGAGGAUGGAGAAAAAGGAAGUGCCUGCUCCAUCCCCUGAGUGCCAUCUGCUGUGGAGGGCACAGACAGUGCCCGCCCAGAGAGCUCUCUGCCCACAGAUACGCCCACACACCGCACCACUGACAGCUGUGGGAAGGCAACACCAGAGCUGAGAAAACACGGAGCUGGCUUUCAGACUGCACAUAUUGGUCAUCAGAAGGUGCGGAAGAAGCCCCAACGGAACAGACAGAGGAGGCUCAUUUUAAGUUUUAAAAUCAGCUACUAACUCCUCUAGCAAAAAUGAGAAAAUUUUUCUUUGUUAAAGCCCCCAGAAUCUCUAAUUCCCAAUCUGUCAGAGACCUACCUCAUUUACAAACUAACGAAAAUAGAUAUGCGACAAACCAUAAGAAACAGAAAUUGCUGCUUUAGAAUUUCUUUGUAAACCAACACCUUAAACUAGAUAGGAGGAGGCAAGUCACCUUCUCUAUGCUUUAAGAAAGGAGAAAAGACAAGAUGCUUUUUGGAGUUGAUAUGAGAAACUCCACUUUUCCUGACUCCAAAGCACGAAGGGCCUGGAGGAAAUUAGUAGAAGAGAUGCAGGGUGGGGAGAAAAAAAGAAGAGUGAAAGGAAUGGGAAACCAGUGUAAGUAAAAUCCAUACGUGUUUUCUACUCCUAAAAUGACACAAAACACAUUUAAACCAUGUUCAGUAACUGCAUUAUUUGUAAAAUGAUUUCACCAUUCUAUCUAACAAUCUCUAACAGAUUUGUCUGUGACUUUAAAUUUAAAACUUCCUUCCCUCAUUAUGAUCUUUGUUAUCUAGUUUUUAUUUCUUCAGAAGAUCGCUGAAACCUAUACCAGAAAGAGAUUCUCUUCAUAUUGAGAAAAAAAAGGUCCAGAAAUAAAGUCAGUGUCCAAGCCCUUAUUCUGAGUCAACAGCAGAUCUGCAGCCAGGACUCAGAACUACCUCUUGUUGGACUCAGACACAGCCAUAGAGUGACCGAACAGAGAGAAACGUUACUGACUGUCAUGAGCUACUCUGCUAGUAGAGCCAUCUUGCCCUAUGCAUCACCUCAGUCCCUCAUGCAAAUUGACUUCUGGCAGCUUUCCCUCCUAUUCAUGUGCUCU
ensembl:lncRNA